GGUUUGUGCGAUGUUUAAAUUGAAUUAUUUCAUUAAAAUAUUACUAAAUAUUAUGAAUAUAUUAUGUGGAUUUACAGUUAAAGGAGGGCAGAGUUGAAAUAUUUCUUGGGGGGGCACCAUUUGCAUAUUUUUACAUACAUAUGGUUUAAUGUCGGAUGAGAAAAUAGAACACUCUCAAAUAGUACCACACACAAUAUUGAUUAAAUGAAAGGUGUUGUAGUGUGAAUGAUCCAUGUGCUCUGUAAGUGUGGGUUUUAACAGCUUUCUAACAUUGAAACUAAUUUAAACCCUUGUAUUUUUUAAGAAAUUAUCAACGAAGUUGAUUUCAAGUAAGUUGUUGGAAAUAUAAAGUUCAAAACUACACCAACUGC
rnacentral:lncRNA from 1 species